rnacentral:rRNA from 1 species
UUGAUCAUGGCUCAGAUUGAACGCUGGCGGCAGGCCUAACACAUGCAAGUCGAGCGGUAACAGAGAGUAGCUUGCUACUUUGCUGACGAGCGGCGGACGGGUGAGUAAUGCUUGGGAACAUGCCUUGAGGUGGGGGACAACAGUUGGAAACGACUGCUAAUACCGCAUAAUGUCUACGGACCAAAGGGGGCUUCGGCUCUCGCCUUUAGAUUGGCCCAAGUGGGAUUAGCUAGUUGGUGAGGUAAUGGCUCACCAAGGCGACGAUCCCUAGCUGGUUUGAGAGGAUGAUCAGCCACACUGGGACUGAGACACGGCCCAGACUCCUACGGGAGGCAGCAGUGGGGAAUAUUGCACAAUGGGCGCAAGCCUGAUGCAGCCAUGCCGCGUGUGUGAAGAAGGCCUUCGGGUUGUAAAGCACUUUCAGUCAGGAGGAAAGGUUAGUAGUUAAUACCUGCUAGCUGUGACGUUACUGACAGAAGAAGCACCGGCUAACUCCGUGCC